GACGAACGCUGGCGGCGUGCUUAACACAUGCAAGUCGAGCGGGGAUUAGUGAGGUGCUUGCACCGAUCUAAUUCUAGCGGCGGACGGGUGAGUAACGCGUGAGCAAUCUGUCCUACACAGGGGGAUAACACUUGCAAACAGGUGCUAAUACCGCAUAAGACCACGCGGUCGCAUGGCCACGGGUUAAAAGAGUUAUCGGUGUAGGGUGAGCUCGCGUCCCAUUAGCUAGUUGGUGAGGUAACGGCCCACCAAGGGGACGAUGGGUAGCCGACCUGAGAGGGUGAUCGGCCACAUUGGAACUGAGACACGGUCCAGACUCCUACGGGAGGCAGCAGUGGGGAAUAUUGGGCAAUGGGCGCAAGCCUGACCCAGCAACGCCGCGUGAAGGAAGAAGGUUUUCGGAUUGUAAACUUCUGUCCUAAGUGACGAACACAAUGACGGUAGCUUAGGAGGAAGCCCCGGCUAACUACGUGCCAGCCGCCGCAGUAACAC
rnacentral:rRNA from 1 species